rnacentral:lncRNA from 1 species
CUGGUGUGAAGGAGGUCUUGUGUUUGAAUCUUGGCGUGGGUAUUAUUUUUGCUCGUGCGUCCAGGAGAGUUUGAGAUGGACUAAAAAUCUGAGUAGUGGAUUUAGUGGGGAGUUUGAUGGAGAGAAAUAAGGGAUUGGGGUGGUUAUCAAAUAUUUUGUUCAUUUUUUUUAUUUUUUCCUUUUUUUACUUUUCCCCAAAUCGCUCCACCCUCUUACCGUUUUUCUCUUCAUUGUUGUCGAAUUUCUGCUCUCUUUCACCCUUCAUCUUCUUGAUUUUUCUUUUACCACUCUGCCUCGUGUCUG